rnacentral:tRNA from 1 species
AAAGAUUAGUUAAAAAAUAACCUAAGAAUGUCUAUCUUAUAUUACUUUAAAGUAUCUUUUU